rnacentral:lncRNA from 1 species
AGUGCGCUGCCAGGGUCCUGCGGGUUGGGGCGAGGGCCGAGAGGUGGGAGUUGGAGGUGAACGUGGGGGCAGCAUGCUGGCUGCCCGGCCCCUGCCUGGGUUCUGAGUUGCUGCGGUGUCGCGGGAGCUGAGGCCGCCCAGGGCGUGGAGCGACUUCUGCGUCUCGUCCCAGGGUCCUGUGCUCCCCGCAGAAUCCCCCAGGCGCGGUGUGGACGUCAAAGCGACCUCCUAGAGAACAUUCCUAGCUCUCAGAACGUUCUCGCUGGGGAGGGAAAGUGGAAAAAGAGGGGGCGAGGAGCGGAGGGACGGGGUGGGACCCCUGUCGCGGGGCGCCUGUCAGGGAGAGGGACCUGGCAAGGCCGGCCUGGGUCGCCUCCGGAGCUGAAGGCUAAGUGGUCUCAUCCAGGGGACCUGCUGUGAACACAUUGAAUAGCAUAGAAAACAAAAGCACACGCUCCAAGUCCAUCUCUUUUUUUUUUUUUUUUUUUUUUUUUUUUUUUUUUUUUUUUUGAGGCAGAGUCCCGCUCUGUCGCCCAGGCUGGAGUGCGGUGGCGCCAUCGCGCUCACUGCAAGCUCCGCCUCCCUGGUUCACGCCAUUCUCCUGCCUCAGCCUCCCGAGUAGCUGGGACUACAGGCGCCCGCCGCCACACCCGGCUAAUUUUUUGUAUUUUUAGUAGAGACGGGGUUUCACCAUGUUAGCCAGGAUGGUCUCGAUCUCCUGACCUCGUGAUCCACCCGCCUCGGCCUCCCAAAGUGCUAGGAUUACAGGCGUGAGCCACCGCGCCGGCAAGUCCAUCUCUUAAAAUGUGCUCCCGUCAGGACCUGGGCUCUGGGCUCCACGAAGGAGCCUUGCAUGGUACCCCAUCGCUGCGGGCAUGGCUGCCUUUUUAACUUGGCUGUACCUCCCUGGUUUCUGUGGACAGACUGAAAGUCCAAGCGGACGCUGCCGAGGGAGGCUGGCAUCCUCUCAUCGUAAACAAGGUUCUCCAAUAUGUUACAAAGACUGUUUUUGCCCAGUCACAAAUUCAAACCUAGGUCUCCAAUCUGAGAGAGGAAAGUGAAGCUUUCCGUACCACAGAACGGAUGUAUUUUGGGGUGGUCCGUGAGACGGGUACUGCAGUAGCUCCUCCCGGCUGCACCUACCAUCAGCCUGCAGCCAUUUACUCUGAUGCCUUCCCUGGUGCCUGGCAGAGCCACCCAGAACCAGUCCUCGUCAAUGAUGAGUGAGCAAAUGCUGUCUGCCCCAUUCAGCCACCUGAGGCUGCUGGCUGAUUCUGGGUAUGAUGUUAGACAUCAGGGCAUAACCCAAUGCCUGUGAAUAUGUACCCAGCACAGUACUCAAAAAUGCAAGGGCCAUUUAUGGAGCAUCCAUGAGCCAUCCUGCUUGGUGCUGGCCGUGAGACUGCAGAGGGGAGUCCCUGCUCCAGACUGUAUGUGGGGGGCAUGUGGAGUGGGGAUUGUCAAUCACACACAUAAAAGAAGAGCUCUCUCCCCAUGCAAGGAAUACAACGUACCCUAAAAUCACAGCGAAAGGAGCCCAUCGGCAACAUGGAAAGUGCUGGAUCCUACCUGGGGCGUCUGGAAGCCUCACUGCAAACGGCUGCAGCUGCCUGCAGGAGUGAAGAGUGGCUUCUGCCUGUGUCCAGCAACUCCCAGUCUGGCCACAGUGACCAGACGAGCCUUGAACAUGCUCUUGAGAAGUGGGCUGCCUGAGGCACUGGGGAGAAACCACUGUGGCUUUUUCUGAUGAGCAUAGGGACUCCAGGGUCCAAUUAUCCCCCUGAUGAUGGAAAGGCCCACACUGCCAAUUAGGUGAGCCUGUGCCUCUGGGGCCAGGCUGGCCCCUGCCUGGCUGAGGGCACCCAAGCAGAGGCUGUUGAGCCCGCUCCUGGCUCCCUGUUUGGGCCCUUCGCCCUCCUCAGUGGCUAUCUAUCUCCCACACUCCCUACUGGAGGAGCUGCUGUCCAUGGGCCACCCUUGUUCCUGCACAGCCCGCACCCUCUGAGGGAAGAAUUUGUCCCACCUGACCUCUGUUUCCUCUCUGGUCCAAUUUUUCCGACCUCCCCUGUUCUCGCCACUCUAAUUCCAUGGCCCCAGGUGCUCCUCAGAUAGGCUGGCUCCUGCCACCCCGCUUGGGGCUUUGGGACUCACUGUGCCCUCUGGAAUGUUCUCCUUCCGCAUCAGCCCGCCCCCUCCCUCACUUCCUACAAUCCCACACCCAGCCAGGACAUUCCUUUUUCCUCCCCUGCCAGAUGAGGAAAGGGAGAAACCCUCUCUGGCCUCUCCCAGCUGCCAGGGGAGAAACCCUGUCUGGCCUCUCCCAGCUUCUGGGGGCUCCUGGCUUCAGGGUCUGUGGCACCAACACUUUGAUCUCUGCAUCUCAGGUCACGUCACCUCCCAUGAUCUGUGUGUCAGAUCUCUUCUGUGUGUCUCCUUAUAUGAGUGUUUAUUAUUUUCAAAUUUAUGCAUAAUAGAUGAAUAUGUUUUUGGAGUACAUAUGAUAAUUGAAUGCAAUUAUAAUUUGUAAAUAUCAAAUCAGUGUAAAUGGGCUAUUCAUCACCUGAAAUAUUUGUCUUUUCUUUAUACCAGAAACAUUCAAAUUAUUUCUCUUAUGACUAUUUUGAAAUAUGCAAUAGAUUACUGAAAACUAUAGUCACCUUACUGAUCUCUAAUGCUCAGUCUUAUUUCUUCUAUCAAACUAUACAUCUGUAUCCAUUAAUCAACCUCGCUUCAUCCCGCAGUCCCCUAUACCCUUCCCAGCCUCUCAUAACCACCAAUCUACUAUUUCCAUGAGAUCCACUUUUUAAGCUCCCACAUAUGAGUGAGAACAUGCGAUAUUUGUCUUUGUGCCUGGCUUAUUUCACUUAACAUAAUGACCUCCAGUUCCAUCCAUGUUGCUGCAAAUAACAAGAUUUCAUUCUUUUUAUGGCUGAAUAAUAUUCCACUGCAUAUAGUACCACUUUUUUUAAUCCAUUCAUCCAUUGAGGUGGACACUUAGAUUGAUUCCAUAUUUUGGCUAUUGUGAAUAGGGCUGCAAUAAACAUGGGAGUGCAGAUAUUUCUUCAAUGUAUUGAUUUGCUUUCUUUUG